rnacentral:lncRNA from 1 species
UUUACAUUUGAGAAUGAAGCUCAGCUGAAGUUUGAACAGCAUACUGACAUAUACCAACAAGAAUGAAAAUAACUUAACAGCAAUUUUAUAAAUUCACAUCCCCCAGAGCACCACAGAGUAAAGAAAUACUGCAUAUGGGUAACAACUGGUUCUUAGUUACUAAAUCUGAAAGAUCAAAUACAGUUAAUUACAUAAGCUUCUCUUGAGUUUUUCUGGGGGAAUAUACCAGGAGACCAUAAUCAAGGUACCAGUUUAUUGAUGGCUGUCCUUAACAAAUACAACUCUUCAAGAAAAUAAAGUAAUU